UGCGUAGGCGGUUUGGUAUGUCGGGUGUGAAAUCUCACCGCUCAACGGUGAAACUGCAUCCGAAACUGCCGGACUCGAGUACAGGAGGGGAGAGCGGAAUUCUCGGUGUAGCGGUGAAAUGCGUAGAUAUCGAGAAGAACGCCGGCGGCGAAGGCGGCUCUCUGGACUGAUACUGACGCUGAGGCACGAAAGCGUGGGGGAGCGAACA
rnacentral:rRNA from 1 species